GUGCUUGCUCUGGCAGCACAUAUACUAAAAAAUUGGAACGAUAGAGAUUAGCAUAGCCCCUGUGCAAGGAUGACAUGCAAAUUUGGGAAGCGUUUCAUAGGUUU